CAUUUUGCAGAUGGGUAUUAAAAGUGAAUUGCAAGAGAGAUUCAACAGUCAUUCAACUAAUUUCAACAGUCAAAAUUCUUCCUCUUGUCAUGGAAAAUGACUAAACCUGUUACUGAUGGCACAAAAACACAGGAGCAGUUUCAACAGGUAUUAAACCUCCCAUAAGAAUUCAGUCUGCUUCCUACAGGACACUUUGCCAGGCAGUCUUGCUAAUGACAUUGAUCUAUAAGCAUUCAAGAUGACUUUCUUCCAGUGCCAGUGACUCAGAAGCAGGCAAAACUUCAGUGUGCCGACGCCAGAACAGAGGCUCUCAGCUGGAGUGUGAGAUGUUGGACUUUCUGGGGCAGUAAAGCAAACCUACUGAUGGUUCAGUGCAGGGCCGGCUCCAGCUUUUUUGCCACCCCAAGCGGUGAAGAGAAAAAAAAAACUGAUUGAGCUGCUGCCGAAGUGCCUUAGAGGAAGACACGGAGAAAAGAACCCGCCGCUGAACACUAAAGCGGAGCACCGCCCUGAUAACACUGGUCUACAAUUUUUGAGAAGUCGUCUGCUUCAGAGAUAAAAUGUGCUAUUUAUUAUGUAUUUUGAUGUGCUGAAUUCAGAUAUGACAA